rnacentral:rRNA from 1 species
GACGAACGCUGGCGGCGUGCUUAACACAUGCAAGUCGAACGAAGAGCGAUGGAAGCUUGCUUCUAUCAAUCUUAGUGGCGCACGGGUGAGUAACGCGUAAUCAACCUGCCCUUCAGAGGGGGACAACAGUUGGAAACGACUGCUAAUACCGCAUACGAUCUAAUCUCGGCAUCGAGGAUAGAUGAAAGGUGGCCUCUACAUGUAAGCUAUCACUGAAGGAGGGGAUUGCGUCUGAUUAGCUAGUUGGAGGGGUAACGGCCCACCAAGGCGAUGAUCAGUAGCCGGUCGGAGAGGAUGAACGGCCACAUUGGGACUGAGACACGGCCCAGACUCCUACGGGAGGCAGCAGUGGGGAAUCUUCCGCAAUGGACGAAAGUCUGACGGAGCAACGCCGCGUGAGUGAUGACGGCCUUCGGGUUGUAAAGCUCUGUUAAUCGGGACGAAAGGCCUUCUUGCGAAUAGUGAGAAGGAUUGACGGUACCGGAAUAGAAAGCCACGGCUAACUACGUG